AAAUUAAAAAGGCAAAAAUAAGUUAUCCCUGAAUCAUUAUGUGCGUUAAAAUUUAAAACUCAAUGAGUACAUAAUAAAAUAACAAAGAGUUGGAAAAAACCUUGUCAGUUCCAUAAAGAAAAUCACAAUAGGUAAAGACAGAAGCAAAGUUGCUGUGGCUUUGCUCCCCAACAUAAUGGUGGUAAUCAUGAUAAUCUGCACCGCCGUAAAAUGGAAUAUACUUUGUGAAACCCCAGGGGAAGUCAUACCUGCAAAAGGAGAAACAAACUAGCACAUGCUUUACAUCUACAAAAAUCAGCACGUAAAGACAAAAAAAUAUGGCUCUUUAAUACUAAAACUGCCAGCUGUGAGAAGCCAUCAAAGAUAAAAACAGAAAUCAGAGAAAAUUUCCAAAAAAAUACAUAAUUUCUCAUUGCGAUUCCACUCUCAACCAUACAGUCAAACCAAUAAAAUCCAACGACUCAGAGCAAUUAUCAAAUACAAAUAGAUCAUUCAUAUAAAAAAUAUGAAUGCAGAAAAUGUUGCUGUGAACAUGCAACACCGUGCCUUCAGGCAUUUUACCAUAUCCUCGAAAGUUUAUCAUCAAUAAUAACUCUCAACUUCCCCCUCUCCAUGAAGCUCAUAACUACAAUUUAAAGCAAUCUUGUUCCUCGUCAUUCUCUUCCCUAUAUUUCUUUAACUUGAAAAUUUGGUGGUUGAAACUUAGAGUCCAUCCAUAACAGUUGCAAUCUCAACUUCUCAUCUACUCAAAUAUAUAAAUACUACAAAGUUUUGUCCUCAUUGUAAAAAUAUAAAAGCAAUGCCAUCAAAGUUUAAAGAAAUUAUUUUAAUAUUAGUCUUAAAUGAAAAACAAAAAAUCCUCAAAAAGAAUUAUAUCUACCCAGGCUAAUUGCUUUCACCCGCACCAAUUCCAGAUUAAAAUAAGAUACCAUCCAUGCAAUGCAUUCUUCGUGGUUAGAAUCUCUCAGAUACCUUUAUACAUUUCAGUUAUAUUCUAUGCUCGACCAAAGGCCACCUAAUUCCUGAAGAUUUCACCAUGCACCAUUAGCCUCUAUUAAGUAACCUCUGAUUAUCUAUUAAAAAUAACUUCCUUUAUUAAGUCAUUCUGGCCAAUAGUUUUGCCAUAUUUAUAGGGUCAUUGCCCAUUCAUUGGUGAUUGGAACAACUUAGCCAUGGAGCAGAAAACAAUGCAGUGGAGGACUAUUAUUAAAGGGCAUCAAACUAAACAUGAUACCCAAGAAUCAAAAUGUUAACACACUUCAACAGAAAAAAGCAUCCAACAAGCAACAUACUACAGUAAUAGCUUAGAGUGUCUUGAAAAUAAUUCUUAUGCAACAAUUCAUAUAUCGAUGAAUAAGCGGCGGAUGCACCAUGUGACCAGUACAGCCCCCACUGGCUAAAAAAAAAAUUCUAAGAAUAAAAAAAAAUAUAUUUAAGAUUCCAUUAAAUCUAUUAAAAUUGACUCUAUAAAUUUAUAAAUUCACAAAAUUUAAACUUUAACGUUUAGAAUUAUAAAAGCCCACACUAUAAUUAAAAAUAAUGAUAGGUCAUCACCACAAACAUUUUUCUAUUCUUGAAAAUACGUCGACAACAGUCAUAAAUGUAUUAACAAGUAUUUUAUACAUUCAAAGUUCUAGUUUUAAAAUUUUACUAAUAUGUAAUCUAGCCCCCGGUAAAUUAUUUUUCUAAAUCUGCCACUGUCGAUGAUGCAUAAAAAGCCAUGAGUUAUAUAUAUAUAUAUAUGAGAAGGAAAUCUUAGAAAGUACAUUCAUAAAUAGAAGUUACUAAAUGGCAUGCAUGCCCGAGCCAAACAAAAAGAAAAAAAGGAAAAAGACAUACAUCUGUUUCGCUAAUUUAAGAACUUGGAAACUGACUUAGGGAUAGUAAAAGACAGAGCAGAAUUGCAAUAGUUACCAGAUUCCCAAAAAUUUCAGGAUUUGGUCAUAUAGAAAUGAUAGAUUGGAGCAAUUUUGAAUACUAAUUAAUGGUAACUUACUGCCAAAGCAAAAUACAAUUAAGAGAAUAACAAGAAGAUGACAGUAAUGUUGAAAGGGAAAAGGCACAAAGUCUACAAAUGAAAGGUAAGCCACUGUAAAAGAUCUUUGAACCCCCCUCCUUUUACAAUGAAUUCCACCAGAAAGGAUAAAUGGAGUGAAAGAAAUUCUAAAGUUGACAUCAUUUAGUAAAAAAUAAACUAAAGCAGAAAAGGACAGUGAUAAUUUCUUUCUUUUUUUUUUUAUUUAGAAAAAAGGACAGCAUGCAUACCCGCUGUGAGUAUCAAUUGCCUCAAUCUGCCGCAAAGCAAUCCACAACCAGAAUGUGAUCAUGUGCCCAGGAGCCAUUGCAGGACCAAGAAAGGAUGGAAUCCCAAGGAUCAAAAUCUCAGCCCAAUGUGCAUAUGGUGCAGCAAAUCCAAUGGGAGCGGUGUAUUCAUGAUGAACGCGGUGAAUUUUCUCAUAACCCCAUUUACAAUGGAGAAAUCUGUGAAUCCAGUAAUUGGUAUAGUCCUCUACCAUGAAAUAAACUACCAAUUGUGCAAGAAUCUCCCACCCUGACGGCAGCGGCAACCCAGUCCGAAUCCCAACCAUCUGGGAUCAUCAAAGCAAACCCAUAUUACAUUUUGUACAAACUCGUAAAAAAGUAGUAAAAUGAUAGCAAUAAUUUAACUAUUUAACCGCGAAUAAGCUAGAAGACAUCAAAUACCCAGAAACGCAAAAUAAAGGAAGCACCAUCUUAUAAAUUCAAAAUAUGAAAUUCCAAUAAGUUACAGAAACCAGAAAUCUGAUUACUAAAAAUCAACAUUUGAGUAUCAUAACAAUUUUCAGCUGCUUCAAUUGCAGAAAAACAGAACCAUGCAUGCAUCCUUACAGAACUCAUCAAAUCGCAUCAAUUAAGCAAUUCAAUAAAUUAACCGGAUAUGCAAAGCUAAAAAGCCGAAAACACCCCCCACAAUGCAAAUGUAAAAACCAAAAAACACAUUCCACAAACUUGGAGAAUUUGAGUGAAAAAUGAAAAGACCUGAACGGAAGGGAAAGAAACGAGUUGAAGAGGGCCCACAACGAGAAAGAACAUGCGCAUAACAUCCUUGUAGCAGCGAACCAUCUCGGAGAAAGAGAGCCUAACUUUCGGCUGAAUCUUGUACUUAUCGAAACUAUCAGAUCGCAGCGAUUCAAUAACGACAAAGGGCAGCGGCGCAACAGAAAACACCAAAAACAGAAACAGAAUGUUGUGGCAGUACAGGAAGUAAUCCGAUUUGUUCGCCGAGUAAUUGUACCAUAACGUCUCCGCGAACGUCAGGUUCCGUCCAAGCGCUGCGGCCGCGUCUUCGAUUGUAGCGUACGGCAGCAUUUUAGUCCGAGCAGCGAAGAUCGGAGUCUGGUGGCGCGUGGAGGAGAGCGAGAAUUGAUUAGGAUGGGGGCUGGGGGAGGGUGAGGAGGAGGAGCUGAGGCCUUUUUUUUUUGUUUGUGUGUGGUUUUGCGAUGCGCUGGCAGAGGGGGGGUUUGUAGUUUGUGUUUGUUAAAAUUAUGCGGGAAUUUUGAAACCACGCCCCCGUUUUAGUAUUGUGGCACCCUGCUGUGAGCUGUGUCGUUUGUUGUUGCUCUCUUCUUGCCGUUAUUUAUAUCUCGAAUUUUCGUUUAACAUUUGUUUUUUCUUUCAUAUAAAUUGCAGCCCACUCAUUAAAAUUAAAAUGAAAAAAAAAAGUGUUUUAUUUAGUAUGAAUAACUUUUCAAGUUAUACAUGGUUCGGCCCUUGUCUGAGUGGUUAGAACUGUUAUUCUCUAAGUUGGAGGAUAAUAGUUCAAAUCUCCACAAAUUUAAUGUGUAUUUUCUUCCGUAAUUAUAAUGUACAAUUGAGUGAAUAUAAUCUUCUCUUUUACCAAAAUAUGAGUGGAGUAUGCAUUUUUUGAAUAUUAAUAAAGAUUAAAACUCUGGAGAAAGCUCCAUAAGUAUAGUGAGGGUUGAAAAAUCUGAAUAUAAGUUGGUCUCAGUAAUAACUUAAUUUAUAAAUAUCGGUUAUAAUAUCAUCUAAUAUGAGUUAUAUUUGAGUAAUAGUAUCAUGUAAUAAAAAAAAUUCAAUACAUACUAAUACUAAUAUAUAAUAUAAAUUGAAGAUUUCAAAAUUUCACAUGCGUAUCGUCACGUGACAGGUCACGCAUUGUUGAUUUUCUUUUUUUUAAAAUAUGGAUGGUUGAUUUUAUUUUUUUUUUAAAACUAAAUAUGGAUAGUUAAAUUUAAGAGCGAGUAAAAUAAAAUGUUGAUAAACAGUAGAUUCACAGGCAGUGUAUGGGAGUGAGACUAAGGGUGCGUUUGGGAUUGAGGUUGGGCAGCUGUAGCUUAAAAGCUACAACACUAAAGUGUUUGGUAAACACUAACUGUUGUUCUCAAUGCGGUCAUGGAUCUCAUCAAGAGUUGGACCAUUGGCCCAACCCCUUGACAGGCCUUUUAAAAUCCCUUUGAAAUUAUUAGCCUCACUCUAAACAACUCUUAAAACCCUUUUUUUCUCAGUUAACCCAUUAAAGUACUUCAGCAAAUAAGUUCCAAGGAUUCAGUUUGCAAGGCAGCCACGCCGAUUGAUGGAUGAUGGCAUUGAUUAUCCGGCAAUGCUUGCAUAAUUUUAUGUUGUUCAUUGUUCAGUGUCGCAAACUGCCACACUAUCUUUAGUUUAUGCUAUUAUUUGUAGUAUCCAAAUACAAUCAAGAGAUCUGAAUUUCAUAGUCAUUUUUCCUUCUCAUUAGGAUUUGUUCUUUUUAAAUUCAACUUGCUAGUUAUCUUGUAGCAUUGCUAGUCUUUUAGGGUGCGUUUGGGAUUGAAGUGCUGUAGCUUUUAAGCUAUAGCUGCUGUGGAAAAAAAACUGUAAGUAUUCAACUUGCUAGUUAUCUUGUAGCACUGCUAGCCUUUUAAUCUAAGUAUGAAAUAACUCGCUCGCUCUCUCUCUCUCUCUCUCUGUGUUCGGUUUAAUUUUUAAUAAAGGUUAGAAUUAUAAAAUAGGUAAAAGGGGUUAAAAUAGAUUUUGAAGGGCAGCCGAUGGUCCACUCUGUUACAAGUAAUGUUUGAAAUCCAUCACUUCUCAAAAUCAGGAAAACAAAAAUCACGCCCACCGUGGGGCUCGAACCCACGACCACAAGGUUAAGAGCCUUGCGCUCUACCGACUGAGCUAGACGGGCUGGUUGUUGCCGUUAACUGCCCAAUAUUUAGAUCUUUAUUCUGCUGGCAUCCCAUAUCUCCCCAACUAAAAGAUAACUUUGUCGUUUCAUUGAUAUCAUCAAAUCAUUGAUCAAAACAUAUAAGAAAUUAUAAAAACAUAUGGAUCACAAGUUACAGCAUUCUGAAAUCAUCUGUGGAAGUAGACGUUGACCAUAAGGUUACCUAGCAUGAAUUAAUAACCUGCCGAUUGAUUAAACCAGUGCCAAUGAUACUUUUUGAGUUUUGAAUGAAAACGUCAUCAAGAAAUGCCACUUAACUAUUCUGAUGCUAAAGAAAAUGCUAGAACUCAGAAGAUCAUUACUCAUCUAAUAAUAUAAAGACAAGCCAUAGUUCCAAAUCACAUAUUCUUUCUAGAACUGGACAUAAUUUCAAAGACACAAGUUCUUAACACUGUUGAAACCCCUUCUCAAGCUACACGAAAACAUUUGCUUAAGAACCUUAAGUUGAAACCUUCUAACUGUUGAAACCCCUUCUCAAGCUACAUGAAAACAUUUGCUUAAGAACCUUAAGUUGAAACCUUCUAACUGUUGAAACCCCUUCUCAAGCUACAUGAAAACAUUUGCUUAAGAACCUUAAGUUGAAACCUUCUAACUGUUGAAACCCCUUCUCAAGCUACAUGAAAACAUUUGCUUAAGAACCUUAAGUUGAAACCUUCUAACUGUUGAAACCCCUUCUCAAGCUACAUGAAAACAUUUGCUUAAGAACCUUAAGUUGAAACCUUCUAACUGUUGAAACCCCUUCUCAAGCUACAUGAAAACAUUUGCUUAAGAACCUUAAGUUGAAACCUUCUAACUGUUGAAACCCCUUCUCAAGCUACAUGAAAACAUUUGCUUAAGAACCUUAAGUUGAAACCUUCUACUUUGCCAAAACAGCACGUUGUUGUCAACUUGAAAUUAGAUGUUUCCAGGACUUGUCACCAGUAGAAAUAUACCAGAUGCAUAUUGUUCUGAGCAACAAGUGUGCAGUCGGACAGUUACUCAGACUUAAGAUUUUGGUACGAACCUCCAUUUUGCUCACCACUACCUCUUAAUUCCUCUUGCAUCUGAAUUGGAUUACACAGGAGCAAUUACACUCAGCUUUAAUGCUAAAGAACAGAACUAAAUUGUGAAGAUGUGACUGAAUACCUUUAAAAAAAAAAGGUAAAAUACAGAGUGCAAGAGUUUACCUUUCUAAGGAGCUUCUUUUGAUAGCGAUAGCCCUAAUUGAGAAAAAUUAAAAAGGCAAAAAUAAGUUAUCCCUGAAUCAUUAUGUGCGUUAAAAUUUAAAACUCAAUGAGUACAUAAUAAAAUAACAAAGAGUUGGAAAAAACCUUGUCAGUUCCAUAAAGAAAAUCACAAUAGGUAAAGACAGAAGCAAAGUUGCUGUGGCUUUGCUCCCCAACAUAAUGGUGGUAAUCAUGAUAAUCUGCACCGCCGUAAAAUGGAAUAUACUUUGUGAAACCCCAGGGGAAGUCAUACCUGCAAAAGGAGAAACAAACUAGCACAUGCUUUACAUCUACAAAAAUCAGCACGUAAAGACAAAAAAAU
rnacentral:lncRNA from 1 species